UCUUUUUUGAGGAUGUAGUGCGAGCAAACUAUACAAGGUCACAGCAUCAAGAUGAUUCCCCCAUCACCUCUCCUCGGAAUUCUGCUCCUCUGGGUUCCAGCCUCCAGUGGUGAGAUUGUGCUGACACAGUCUCCAGCUGUCCUGUCUUUGAGUCCAGAAGAAAAAGCCACCAUCACCUGCCAGGCCAGCCAGGGCAUUAGCAGCAGCUUACACUGGUACCAGCAAAAGCCAAAUCAGGCUCCAAAACUCCUCAUAAAAUAUGCUUCUGAGUCUAUCUCUGGUGUGUCUUCGAGGUUUAGUGGCAGUGGAUCUGGGACAGAUUUUACCCUCACCAUCAGCAGCCUGGAGCCUGAAGAUGUUGCCACUUAUUACUGCCAGCAAAGCAGAAGUUAUCCUUCUCCCACAGUGGUGCAACCCAGAACAAAAACUAGUUCGGGCUGGUGGAACAGAGAUACUGUUGCACUCUUAUGA